UCUGAAAUCAGAAGGUAGCAGAAGUCAGAGCGGGCCUCCCAAGAAGAAAGCUCCUUCUACUCAGUCAAGAGUUCCACAGGAUGAUUCUGAAAUUCCAGAGAAGCAAUCAAGCCAAGAAUCAAGAAGGCUGCAUCUCGACACAACAGACGAUGGCAACCAAGUCCACUGGGUUUUUCUGACAGACGUUCCUGAAGAACUUCCCCUCCGAGAUGAUGAAGCAGUAAUAUCAUGCGGCAUCAGAUUCUCGCCAUCAGGAGCUAAGCUCAGCAAACCUAUCAAGGUCACAUUGGACCAUAGUGCACAUUUCUCUAAUCCAAGACGUGCAGAAAUCGUCUUCUACACGCGUAACAAAGGCUCUAAAUCUUUUGAAAGAAUUUCUGCAUCCACCGGCGGUU